UGCGUGGGCGGACUAAUAAGUCAGUGGUGAAAUCUCUCGGCUCAACCGAGAAACUGCCAUUGAAACUGAUAAGCUUGAGUGUAGUUGUAGUAGGCGGAAUAUAGCAUGUAGCGGUGAAAUGCUUAGAUAUGCUAUAGAACACCGAUCGCGAAGGCAGCUUACUAAACUAUCACUGACGCUCAUGCACGAAAGCGUGGGGAGCAAACAGGAUUAGAUACCCUGGUAGUCC
rnacentral:rRNA from 1 species